CAGAACCAAAACUUGAUUCUUAAAUCAAGGGGCUUGAUGGCUUGAGAAUGGCUUCACUUAUCUAGAUUGCAAAGGGUCCCAAGAUUGUCUAUCAGAAGAAUGCUCUAAGGAGAAGUGUAAAGGUCUUGCUGUGCAGCCUUGGCUAGAUCCCAAGCAGGGGGAAGGCAAGAGUGCUCCCUCCAGCAGGCAGGUCCUGCAGCAACGACUUCUGUGAGACCCUGGUCUUCUGAGACAUCUCUACAGAGCUGCGUAUCAGAAUGCAGUCCUCCAGUUCUUCUGGGCAGGACACUGGAUCUGAUGGAAUGAGUCCCUCAGUUGUAAAGGGGGAUCAAUGGGUUUCAUGAGGCUUUGACACCCUUAGAAAACUGCCAUUAUGAUCUUAGAGGAACAGAGAAGAGAUGAAGCAGAUGAAGAUGGUUGGACUCUCGAAUUUUUCAGACAGGCAGAACACAGGCUGAUCAAGCAAUUGACUUUCAUUCAGAUCUAUGAUAUUCUACAUGUAUGGAGCGACUAGCCUGAAGGACAGGGCCCUGGCUCAGAAGGAAGACACAGAACUGUCGUCCACUCAGGAUGAGCAGAAGAAUGGGGUCUGUGCUACUCCACAAUCUGGGAUAGUGCAGAUGCUUCAACUCAUUAACACUCAUCCUCUUAAAGAUAUCCAGAGGACUGGAUUGCAGUUAUACUGUUUACAUAGAUUGGACUCACCCCUAAAGAACUAUUUCUCAAAAGAUCUACUUCCCUCAUGUCCUAAUCACUUUCGAACUACCUCUGGUGGGCGGUGGGCUAAAGAAGAGGUUGAACCCUUAUUAAAGGAAGUUGGAAAAAUUUAUGCCUACAAUGGACAUUGUGUGAUCAGCUCUCUCAACCUGAAUAUGGGAAGUGUCAUUCCAUAGACUGAGAUACUGGACCAAAUGAAAAUCAGAAAGCAAGCUGAGCACCAGCAUUUAUCAAUUCCUGCUUCCUGACUGCAGGCACAAUGUGUCCAGCCACCCACUGCUCCUUUUGCCGAAACCUCCCUCCUAUGGAAGCUUACAACAAGUUGGGUUUCUACCCCUGAUCCCCCAGCAUGAAUAUUGAAUGACCAGGAAGAGCCCUUACCAAUUGUGGACUUUCACCAUGGCUGAGACUUUCAGGAGAUUUGACACCUCUGAAGAAGAUACACGGUGACAUCAAGUAGUCUGUAGCAGAUGCCAGCAUCUGAGGAAGAAUU